rnacentral:rRNA from 1 species
CGACGAUCAGUAGCCGCCCUGAGAGGGUGGACGGCCACAUUGGGACUGAGACACGGCCCAAACUCCUACGGGAGGCAGCAGUGGGGGAUAUUGGACAAUGGGGGGAACCCUGAUCCAGCGACGCCGCGUGAGUGAAGAAGUAUCUCGGUAUGUAAAGCUCUAUCAGCAGGGAAGAAGAAAUGACGGUACCUGAGUAAGAAGCCCCGGCUAACUACGUGCCAGCAGCCGCGGUAAUACGUAGGGGGCAAGCGUUAUCCGGAAUUACUGGGUGUAAAGGGAGCGUAGACGGUGAUGUAAGUCUGGAGUGAAAGGCGGGGGCCCAACCCCCGGACUGCUCUGGAAACUAUGUGACUGGAGUGCAGGAGAGGUGAGCGGAAUUCCUAGUGUAGCGGUGAAAUGCGUAGAUAUUAGGAGGAACACCAGUGGCGAAGGCGGCUCACUGGACUGUAACUGACGUUGAGGCUCGAAAGCGUGGGGAGCAAACAGGAUUAGAUACCCUGGUAGUCCACGCCGUAAACGAUGAUCACUAGGUGUGGGUGGGUAUGGACCCAUCG